rnacentral:tRNA from 1 species
GCUUUCGGAAAUCGCCUGGCGAGCCUUCUAAGCUUGGAGUUGCAGGUUCGAGUCCUGCCGGGCGCG